rnacentral:rRNA from 1 species
UACGUAGGGACCGAGCGUUGUCCGGAUUCAUUGGGCGUAAAGCGCGCGUAGGCGGUUAUCUAAGUCGGAUGUGAAAGCCCUCGGCUUAACUGAGGAAGUGCACCCGAAACUGGAUAGCUAGAGUACGAAAGAGGGUCGCGGAAUUCCCGGUGUAGAGGUGAAAUUCGUAGAUAUCGGGAGGAACACCAGUGGCGAAGGCGGCGACCUGGGCCAAUAUUGACGCUGAGGUGCGAAAGCGUGGGGAGCAAACAGG